GUAGGUGGCAAGCGUUGUCCGGAAUUAUUGGGCGUAAAGCGCGCGCAGGCGGUCCUUUAAGUCUGAUGUGAAAGCCCACGGCUCAACCGUGGAGGGUCAUUGGAAACUGGGGGACUUGAGUACAGAAGAGGAAAGUGGAAUUCCACGUGUAGCGGUGAAAUGCGUAGAGAUGUGGAGGAACACCAGUGGCGAAGGCGACUUUCUGGUCUGUAACUGACGCUGAGGCGCGAAAGCGUGGGGAGCAAACAGGGAUUAGAUACCCUGGUAGUCCACGCCGUAAACGAUGAGUGCUAAGUGUUAGAGGGUUUCCGCCCCUUUAGUGCUGCAGCUAACGCAUUAAGCACUCCGCCUGGGAGUACGGUCGCAAGACUG
rnacentral:rRNA from 1 species